rnacentral:sRNA from 1 species
UGAAAGAUUCAGACCUCCCAUAGCCCGAGUGAUUGAUGUAUCUAAUGGGAAAGUUCAUGUUGCUGAAAGCUGUUUGGAAGAAACAGGUGGCCUGGGAGUAGAUAUUGUCCUAGAUGCUGGAGUUGGAUCCUCCAGACAGCCACUGCCUUUUCCUCAAGGGAGCAACGUUAGCUUUCCUGAAUGAUGAAGUUUGGAAUUUGUCAAAUGUACAACAGGGAAAAUAUCUUUAGUAUUCCAAGUGCCUUGCAAGUAUUCAUUUAAACAUUAAAACAGCCUUUUGAGAUGUAAGUACUGUUAUCAUCCCCAUUUCACAGGUGAAGAAACAGAAGCACAGAGAUGUUGAUACAGACUCAAGGACGCAGCAAGUGGCGGAGCAAGAAUCACACUCAGGCGGUCUCUCUCCUUUCUGAACGGAGAUGAGCCCUAAGAUACCUGGAAGAUUUUGUUUUUAACCUCACAUUAAGGAAAGUACACGUCAGCUUGAAAGGUUGCACACUUACUCCUAU